rnacentral:tRNA from 1 species
GGGGUUGUGGCUCAGUGGUAGAGCACUCACCUGGCAUGUCGGAGGCCCUGGGUUCAAUCCUCAGCACCACA